AUUGAACGCUGGCGGCAGGCCUAACACAUGCAAGUCGAACGAGUGGCGGACGGGUGAGUAAUUUCUUGGAAACUGCCCGAUGGAGGGGGAUAACUACUGUAACCGGUAGCUAAUACCGCAUACCAUCGGUUGGGCCCAGAGGGGAUUAGCUAGUGGGUGGGGUAACGGCUCACCUAGGCGACGAUCCCUAGCUGGUCUGAGAGGAUGACCAGCCACACUGGAACUGAGACACGGUCCAGACUCCUACGGGAGGCAGCAGUGGGGAAUAUUGCACAAUGGGCGAAAGCCUGAUGCAGCCAUGCCGCGUGUAUGAAGAAGGCCUUCGGGUUGUAAAGUACUUUCAGUGGGGAGGCGUUACUCGCAGAAGAAGCACCGGCUAACUCCGUGCCAGCAGCCGCGGUAAUAC
rnacentral:rRNA from 1 species